AAGCACUCUGACACCAUCAUCGAUGCUACCGCCACACAUGGAGGUCUCCGGCACUGUUCUCUGUCGGGUCACCUACGUCUUCGGUGGCUAGUGCCAACACCAAUUAGGGCAUGACCUUGUUUGACGAAUUAGGGUUCGCUAUGGAUCCUAAUCAACGUGCUCUUUUGAACAACCUUUCAAGGAAAUCUUAGCCCUGGUAAGUAAUUGUUGAAAGAGAGAAGCUAAGAGCAAAGGAGAAGGAAUUGAAGAGAAAAAGAAAAGAGGACAAGAAGGCUAGGCUCAGGGCCUCCAUGAUAGGUGAAAACUUAGAUUGACCUCCGCUCCCUUCGUAUUCCUGGGUUAUGCUUCAUUCCCUGCAGCUGAUAUGGUGCGUAAGGAACUGGUUUAUGAUGCUGAGUCUCUAAGUUCUGCAUAAUGGUGAAUUGCUUGAUAAAAGAGGUGGGACGCGGGUCUUUUAGCUGCGUGAUACUUCAGGUUAAAGUUUGUCUAAUGUCCUUGUUCCUCUUCUAGGUAAUAAGCUAGCUAGAAAGGCUAUUGUUGCUUUCCAUGAAUCUAUCCCUGCUAUUACAAGUUUACAGCUUAUGCUCAAGUAUCAAUGCGAGAAUGAAGUGAUCAAAGCGUAUGAACACACAUGACAAUUUAUCCAGGAUGACUUGGUUUAAUCACAAAGUUGCUGGUUGAAAAGUAUUUCACUAGGAUGACUUGGUGGAUUUUGGUGAGCAGCUGGUCAAGGAAAAUAGGGUAUUAAAGCUUCUAGUAGUGUAAUAAGUUAGAGUGAACUAUGGUAGUCUAGGUUCUAUGUAAUGUAGUCUCUUUUGUACCAAAUGGCAAGUGAUAUGGCUAUCUAUGUCUGCAGAAUUAUAUCAGUGUGCUGCUUUGGGUGUUUCAAUUUGUUUGCUGGGUGUAGCACUGACAUGAAUGGCUUUCUAAUAUAUUUCUAUCAUUGGUUUCUCA